rnacentral:misc_RNA from 1 species
AACAUCGCGCACCUGCGGGAACCUGCGGAGGGAUCAUUACCAGUGACCCCCGGCUCCGGCCGGGGAUGAUCAUAACCCUUUGCUGUCCGACUCUGUUGCCUCCGGGGCGACCCUGCCUUCGGGCGGGGGCCCCGGGUGGACACAUUCAAACUCUUGCGUAACUUUGCAGUCUGAGUAAAUUUAAUUAAUAAAUUAAAACUUUCAACAACGGAUCU